CAAUUUAGUUAAAACGUUUGAAUUGUCUUAGUGAUAUUAAAUUUUAAAUUAAUUUAUUAAUGACUGAAGUGGUUUUAAUAUUUUUCUUUAAUUUAUUUCUGCCCAAGCCUUCCUACAUUUUGUUUUGAAGGAAAGAAAGAGAAUGGCUUGAAGUAGAAGUCAUGUCUUGAGAACCUCAUCUUGAUUAAUUCGUAACUGGAUAUGCUUAACUUCAAUCUAAUAAGCUUGUGAACUCUUGUCUGAAACCCUGGACGUAUUCCUUUGGUACUGUAUUGUAUUCUCAGCUUUCUACAGAAUGCCACAACGUAAAUAAUCAAAGACAAGAGACUUGUACAUAAAAUAUUAUCACGUAAUUCCCAUGUAUCUUAGCCUCAGUGCGUGGCAGCUGCCUUCUUCUGCUGUCAUUUUUCAUUAUGGAUAAUUACAAACUAAUGAUGCCCUUACUGAUGCAACGAUGAUUUCAAUUCACCUGUAGAACUCUGCUGAUUGAAAAUGGUUUUAUUUUUUAAAUGACAAUGUAUUGUACUACCAGUAGUUAUCUGAUUUACCUUCUGUUUAGAAUCUUUAAUCCACGACAUUUGAAUUUAUUAAUAAUGUUGGUUUGGACCAC